AUUGAACGCUGGCGGCAGGCCUAACACAUGCAAGUCGAACGAGCGGCGGACGGGUGAGUAAUGUAUGGGGACUGCCCGAUAGAGGGGGAUAACUACUGGAAACGGUAGCUAAUACCGCAUACUAUCGGAUCACCCAGAUGGGAUUAGCUAGUAGGUGAGGUAAUGGCUCACCUAGGCGACGAUCCCUAGCUGGUCUGAGAGGAUGAUCAGCCACACUGGGACUUAGACACGGUCCAGACUCCUACGGAGGCAGCAGUGGGGAAUAUUGCACAAUGGGCGCAAGCCUGAUGCAGCCAUGCCGCGUGUAUGAAGAAGGCCUUAGGGUUGUAAAGUACUUUCAGUCGGGAGGCGUUACCCGCAGAAGAAGCACCGGCUAACUCCGUGCCAGCAGCCGCGGUAAUAC
rnacentral:rRNA from 1 species